rnacentral:rRNA from 1 species
UACGGGGGGGAGCAAGCGUUGUUCGGAUUUACUGGGCGUAAAGGGCGCGUAGGCGGGAUGGCAAGUCGGUCGUGAAAUCCUUCGGCUCAACCGAAGAACGUCGAUCGAUACUGCUGUUCUUGAGGGUUGCAGAGGAGACUGGAAUUCCCGGUGUAGCGGUGAAAUGUGUAGAGAUCGGGAGGAACACCGGUGGCGAAGGCGGGUCUCUGGGGCAAUUCCUGACGCUGAGGCGCGAAAGCGUGGGGAGCGAACAGG